rnacentral:rRNA from 1 species
CCUACGGGGUGCAGCAGUGGGGAAUAUUGGACAAUGGGCGAAAGCCUGAUCCAGCCAUGCCGCGUGUGUGAAGAAGGCCUUCGGGUUGUAAAGCACUUUCAGUGGGGAAGAAAGCCUUGGGGCUAAUACCCUCGAGGAAGGACAUCACCCACAGAAGAAGCACCGGCUAACUCCGUGCCAGCAGCCGCGGUAAUACGGAGGGUGCGAGCGUUAAUCGGAAUUACUGGGCGUAAAGCGCGCGUAGGCGGUCUGAUAAGCCGGGUUGGAAAGCCCCGGGCUCAACCUGGGAACGGCAUCCGGAACUGUCAGGCUAGAGUGCAGGAGAGGAAGGUAGAAUUCCCGGUGUAGCGGUGAAAUGCGUAGAGAUCGGGAGGAAUACCAGUGGCGAAGGCGGCCUUCUGGACUGACACUGACGCUGAGGUGCGAAAGCGUGGGUAGCAAACAGGAUUAGAUACCCCAGUAGUC